AAAGUUUUUCGGUGUAGGAUGAGACUAUAUAGUAUCAGCUAGUUGGUAAGGUAAUGGCUUACCAAGGCUAUGACGCUUAACUGGUCUGAGAGGAUGAUCAGUCACACUGGAACUGAGACACGGUCCAGACUCCUACGGGAGGCAGCAGUAGGGAAUAUUGCGCAAUGGGGGAAACCCUGACGCAGCAACGCCGCGUGGAGGAUGACACUUUUCGGAGCGUAAACUCCUUUUCUUAGGGAAGAAUUCUGACGGUACCUAAGGAAUAAGCACCGGCUAACUCCGUGCCAGCAGCCGCGGUAAUACGGAGGGUGCAAGCGUUACUCGGAAUCACUGGGCGUAAAGGGCGCGUAGGCGGAUUAUCAAGUCUCUUGUGAAAUCUAAUGGCUUAACCAUUAAACUGCUUGGGAAACUGAUAGUCUAGAGUGAGGGAGAGGCAGAUGGAAUUGGUGGUGUAGGGGUAAAAUCCGUAGAUAUCACCAAGAAUACCCAUUGCGAAGGCGAUCUGCUGGAACUCAACUGACGCUAAGGCGCGAAAGCGUGGGGAGCAAACAGGAUUAGAUACCCUGGUAGUCCACGCCCUAAACGAUGUACACUAGUUGUUGGGAUGCUAGUCAUCUCAGUAAUGCAGCUAACGCAUUAAGUGUACCGCCUGGGGAGUACGGUCGCAAGAUUAAAACUCAAAGGAAUAGACGGGGACCCGCACAAGCGGUGGAGCAUGUGGUUUAAUUCGAAGAUACGCGAAGAACCUUACCUGGGCUUGAUAUCCUAAGAACCUUAUAGAGAUAUGAGGGUGCUAGCUUGCUAGAACUUAGAGACAGGUGCUGCACGGCUGUCGUCAGCUCGUGUCGUGAGAUGUUGGGUUAAGUCCCGCAACGAGCGCAACCCACGUAUUUAGUUGCUAACGGUUCGGCCGAGCACUCUAAAUAGACUGCCUUCGUAAGGAGGAGGAAGGUGUGGACGACGUCAAGUCAUCAUGGCCCUUAUGCCCAGGGCGACACACGUGCUACAAUGGCAUAUACAAUGAGACGCAAUACCGCGAGGUGGAGCAAAUCUAUAAAAUAUGUCCCAGUUCGGAUUGUUCUCUGCAACUCGAGAGCAUGAAGCCGGAAUCGCUAGUAAUCGUAGAUCAGCCAUGCUACGGUGAAUACGUUCCCGGGUCUUGUACUCACCGCCCGUCACACCAUGGGAGUUGAUUUCACUCGAAGCCGGAAUACUAAACUAGUUACCGUCCACAGUGGAAUCAGCGACUGGGGUGAAGUCGUAACAAGGUAACCGUAGGAGAACCUGCGGUUGGAUCACCUCCUUUCUA
rnacentral:rRNA from 1 species